rnacentral:rRNA from 1 species
UAGUCCACGCCGUAAACGAUGGAUACUAGGUGUCCGGGAAGUUAACCUCCUGGGUACUACAGCUAACGCGUUAAGUAUCCCGCCUGGGGAGUACGGUCGCAAGGCUAAAACUCAAAGGAAUUGACGGGGGCCCGCACAAGCGGUGGAGUAUGUGGUUUAAUUCGAUGAUACGCGAGGAACCUUACCAGGGCUUAAAUGUAGUCUGACAGGACUGGAAACAGUUUUUUCUCGGACAGAUUACAAGGUGCUGCAUGGUUGUCGUCAGCUCGUGCCGUGAGGUGUCAGGUUAAGUCCUAUAACGAGCGCAACCCCUGUUGUUAGUUGCCAUUGAGUAAUGUCGGGAACUCUAACAAGACUGCCGGUGCAAACCGUGAGGAAGGUGGGGAUGACGUCAAAUCAUCACGGCCCUUACGUCCUGGGCCACACACGUGCUACAAUGGUAGGUACAGAGAGCAGCCACGUCGCGAGGCGGAGCGAAUCUAUAAAACCUAUCUCAGUUCGGAUCGGAGUCUGCAACUCGACU